GACAGAGGGUGCAAACGUUGUUCGGAAUUACUGGGCGUAAAGCGCGUGUAGGCGGCCAUCUAAGUCGGGCGUGAAAUCCCACGGCUCAACCGUGGAAGUGCACUCGAAACUGGAUGGCUAGAGUCCUGGAGAGGAAGGUGGAAUGCUUGGUGUAGAGGUGAAAUUCGUAGAUAUCAAGCGGAACACCGGUGGCGAAGGCGGCCUUCUGGACAGUGACUGACGCUGAGACGGCGAAAGCGUGGGGAGCAAACAGG
rnacentral:rRNA from 1 species